rnacentral:rRNA from 1 species
UACGUAGGAGGCAAGCGUUGUCCGGAUUUACUGGGCGUAAAGCGCGCGCAGGCGGCAGUGCAAGUAAGGUGUGAAAUCUCCCUGCUCAACGGGGGAGGGUGCAUUUUAGACUGCACAGCUAGAGGUCGGUAGAGGGGGGUGGAAUUGCUGGUGUAGCGGUGAAAUGCGUAGAGAUCAGCAGGAACACCCGUGGCGAAGGCGGCCCCCUGGGCCGUACCUGACGCUGAGGCGCGAAGGCUAGGGGAGCGAACGGGG